GUGGGGAAUUUUGGACAAUGGGCGCAAGCCUGAUCCAGCAAUGCCGCGUGCAGGAAGAAGGCCUUCGGGUUGUAAACUGCUUUUGUACGGAACGAAACGGUCCUGGUUAAUACCCGGGGCUAAUGACGGUACCGUAAGAAUAAGCACCGGCUAACUACGUGCCAGCAGCCGCGGUAAUACGUAGGGUGCAAGCGUUAAUCGGAAUUACUGGGCGUAAAGCGUGCGCAGGCGGUGCUGUAAGACAGGCGUGAAAUCCCCGGGCUUAACCUGGGAAUUGCGCUUGUGACUGCAGUGCUGGAGUGCGGCAGAGGGGGAUGGAAUUCCGCGUCUAGCAGUGAAAUGCGUAGAUAUGCGGAGGAACACCGAUGGCGAAGGCAAUCCCCUGGGCCUGCACUGACGCUCAUGCACGAAAGCGUGGGGAGCAAACAGGAUUAGAUACCCUGGUAGUCC
rnacentral:rRNA from 1 species